AUACACCUAUGCCUCCAAAGGCUCCUCCGGUUUCAGAAAGCAGCUUGGGAGAAUUCGAAACCCUAGAUUUAUCUAAUAAUAUUUAACUAGAGAAUCAGCAAAUGAAAGAAGUAAAUAAAAAAGAAAAGGGCAUUACGUGUUAGAUCGAGUGGGGGCAUCAUAGACCUCCAUAGCCCCCACCAACACUCUCUUCCUCUCAGGGUCUCCCCCACCAUCAUUUCCCCUCUCUUUUUUUAAUUCGUUUCCCUCUCAGAUAUUUUUCAUCCAACUCUCUCCUCACACGACUCUCACCUUCUUCUUCUUCUUAGUCGUCAGGCAUCCGCGCUCUUCCCCUUCCCCUCCAUCGAAGCAGAUCUCCUCCUCCUCCGUUCGUCCCCUUCCCUCCGUCCGAUUCUCCAAUGGAUUCCACCGACUCGCGAUUUCCUCAAAUCACCGCGUUUCUCGGCCUGCAUUCUCCUUCUUCUGCUCUAUUCCAUAUCCUCCACCUCUUCCGAGCUGUAAUUUUUCUGUUUCUUGACGAAUAUCCGUUCGUCUUCCACGGCGAACCGUCUGUUUGGCUGCCAAGAAAACUAUGAGAAAAUUCGAGAAUAAGCUUAAAUGGAACUGAGAAGCGAGUAUCGCGUUAUAAUCAACUUAUUAAAAUAAUAUUCUUAUCGAGGAACAGUGGUUUUGUUUUCUAGACAGAUACACGCCUUCACUUCGCAAUUCAGUCAGGACGGCAAAUCAUUGUAGAUGCCUUCUAUGUAAUAUCAGACUGCGUGGACAAGAAGGGAAAAGAAAAGUGGAACUGGAAAAAUCCUCGGAGCGAGGUUUUUACUGCCUCUGGGAUUAGCCUUACCAAUAAUUGCAUUCGCCCUCGCUCAGAGCUCCAUGAUUGAAUUGAAACACCCCAGAGUAAGAAGAGAUGCCCUGUAGAUCAGGAACAAAUUUCUUAUUACUGAAGCAACUUCACUCAUAUGGGAGCCAGCAUAUGUGAUGCUUUGUCAUAUCAAUAACCUCUUGUCCCAUUGUUACUGAACUUGGGAGCACUUGUAUUGUGAUUCAAUUUCGGCAUUUGUGAUUGGAAAUGUACUUCUGGAUGCUUGAGAUUUUGGAUGCUUGUAUAUCAAGGAAGAAUAUGCAAGGAAGCCUUUUCUAGUAUUCUACUAACAAAUAAAAGGAAUGGUGUUACCGAAACUUAAAGGGAAUAUGUUUCAUUUUAACUAGUCGGACUCUGGACAUCUUGGUAGGCUUCACAUCAUAUGGACAGGGAACUGAAGAAUACCUUAACCUCAGAAGCUGGAUUCCCAAAUUGGUAGUGCUCCUCUUUUGCUCUGUUGUAUCGUUCGAUUACUGAUUUUAUGCUGGUAAGAGGAUACAUUUACGUCAGAUACUUUUUUGCUUUUUGCCAGCUUAGCACAAGAAACAUUUGGAAUAUGUUUUCAAGAAUCUGUUUACGGACAACAAAAGAAAAUUGAUAUAUCAUGACAAUGUUGUAGCAGGGAACUAGAGAGAAGUUUCCGAUUCCUUUGCUAACUACUUGUUAGACAAUUCACUUUGAGAAGUCUAAUCUAAACUCUUAGUUCUAUAGCUGGGAUUGUUAAACGGCAUUAGUCAUUUCACGGCAACUGAAGACCACGACAACUAAUUUUCUUGUAAGCUUGCUACUUUAUAAUUUCAUCUUGCAAGUUACAGUCAUUUCCAUAUUAAAAAUAACUGAUAUAUAUGGACAGGAUUAAAUGGACUGCAUACUUUAUAAUGAUGUGAGGUCUUCACACAGAUGUACAAUAGUUUUCCUUAGUCUCUGAACUACGUUCUACAAGGAGCUUAUAUAGUUCCUCCAAAGUUAAACCGAUAAUCUGCAUCGCUCUUGAGUAGAAUGGGCACGGGAAUAGGUCCACACUUUGAACUGUUGUGGUGCAGGGGUGGUUGCUUGUGAGGUGAACCUUUAGUACGAUUGAACCAGUAUAUCUACGGAAGUACCUAGGACUUGAUUUUAACUUCUUCUGGACAGGGCUAGGAUACGAUAAUAGUGGUAAUUGGUAAAUGUCGUAUAUACUAACACUGUUGAUGGAGGUCCAUAUUUUGUUUUUGCACCUGCGGGUGUAAAUGUUUCUGCAGUUUCUAAUUUGAUUCCAUAGAAGCUCAUCAGUUUUCAACUAUGUCGCUUUUCUACGUGCUGCGGGUUCUACAAAAUGGUAGUGAAGUUUAAUCAGGUUAAAGUGUUUUGCUUCUAUGUGUAAACGACAUGUAAUAUUAUUCCAGAUAGGCAGCACAUAUGUUGGCAUGAAUUAACCUAAUACAUAUGUAACAUGUUGCUAAAU